AAGUUUUCCCGCGAAAGGAGUCAUUUGAAAAUGGAAUCGUCCGAUUAUCAUGAUUUUGUCAUAAAACAACUGUAAAUGAAAUGAUUAGCUGAUAUUGAUUUAAUAAACCACGCUCAUUCAGCCGAUAGCAAUUGAUAGGUAAAACGCUGAUCGACUCGAGGAAAAUGUAACACCCCUGCCGGCAGACGAUUCCAAGUCGCGGAAAUGUCAACAUGGCGGACGAAAAUAUGACAUCCGCCGUUAGCGUAGAAAGAAGUAGUAAAACAAGUGAAGAUGUGUUUGUCAAUGGAAAUACGGAUAUCAUGGAAGAUGAUGUGAAGGAAUUAGAUGAUGCUCAAACACCAACUGAGGAUAAUUAUUCAAAUGAACCCACAAUGCCACGGAAAAGUAGCUUCAUGUGCAAAGAUGGGAGCAGAAAACCACCUCGGAAAAAGACUGUAUCAUUCAGCAGCAUGCCCACAGAGCGGAAAAUUGCAACAGCUCAAGACUGUCUUCAAUGUAUGCAGAGCGGUAGUGAGUUAAUAAAAGUCCGCUCCAACAGUCGUCAAUACCAUCGCAUCUUCACACUCAACCCUGACAUGACAGAGAUUCGGUGGCAACCCACAUCCAAAAAACCACAUAAAGCCAGAAUAUCCAUAGCAUCUAUAAAGGAAGUGAGGAGUGGUAAAACCACUGAAGCCCUGAAGAAUAAGGAGAUAGCCGGAAUCUACCAGGAUGAGUGUGCUUUCUCCAUUAUCUUCGGAGAGGACUUUGAGUCCAUGGACCUCAUCGCGAACACUCCAGAUGAGGCCAACAUUUGGAUCACCGGACUAACAUGUCUCAUAAACACAAGUGCCAAAAUUGGAACGUCCCCUGAAGCCAUAGAAGAAAUGCAGCAAAUGAGAGAUUCAUAUCCUUUGUCAGCUACAGAUGUAUUUAAUGAAAUGUUUAAAACAGAGGCCAGCCAAUCAGAAGGGACGCUGGACGAGAAGGGUGUGGUUAACUUGGUAACCAAGUUGAACAACAACAUAGCUCCAGCACGGGUCCAACAGAAGGUCAAAGAGAUUGAGUUGAAUCGAGUUGAAGCUGUUGAGAAAAGGGGGCGGAUAAACAGCGAUGAGUUUGUCAGCCUGUUCAAGGAGAUUUCAACCCGGCCAGAAAUCUACUUUUUGCUUGUUCGGUAUGCCAGCAAUACAGACUACCUCACCACUGAUGACCUACUUUUAUUUUUGGAGGCAGAGCAAGGGAUGCAAAGGGUGACAAAAGACAAAUGCAUUGAUAUAAUCAAUAGAUACGAGCCCUCUAAAGAUGGGAGGAAGAAAGGCCAGUUGGGGAUUGACGGAUUUACGGAUUAUCUGUUAUCGGAUGACUGUGAUGUAUUUGAUCCGGACCAGAACAACAUAGUACAGGAUAUGAACCAGCCCCUCAGCCAUUAUUUUAUCGCCAGUUCUCACAACACGUAUUUGUUAAAGGACCAGCUACAGGGUCCAUCCAGUGUGGACGCCUACAUUCGUGCUCUCGCCAAAGGAUGUCGCUGUGUUGAAUUGGAUUGCUGGGACGGACCAAACGAUGAACCCAUCAUUUACCAUGGACACACUUUCACUUCAAAGAUACAGUUCAAGGCGGUCAUAGAAGCCAUCGAUACUUAUGCAUUCAAAACCUCCGAAUAUCCUGUGAUACUAUCGAUAGAAAACCACUGCAGCAUCAAGCAGCAGCAGGCCAUGGCCCACUACAUGACCACUAUAUUCGGGGAAAAGCUCUGUCUGGAUUAUGUAGGGGAAAAUGAGAGUUGCCUCCCUUCUCCAGAAACCCUGAAGAAAAAAAUAAUUGUUAAGGGCAAGAAACUGCCACCGAAUUCUGAGGAUGACUAUGUCACUGAUGAAGAUGAAGGUGCAGAGUCGGACAAAAAGAAAAACAACAAAACCAAGGAUCACCCAGUAAAGAAACACAAAUUAGCCAAAGAGUUAUCUGACUUGGUCAACUACUGUGUGUCAACUAGAUUCCAGGACUUUCAAGUCUCGCAACAGAAACAGAAAUUUUUUGAGAUGUGUUCAUUCAGCGAGUCUACAGCUAUCAAGCUGGCCAUGAGUUGUCCGGAGGAGUUUGUGAAUCACAACAAGAAGUUCCUGUCACGGAUCUACCCCAACGGAAUGAGAGUGGACUCGAGUAACUAUAACCCCCAGGACCUCUGGAACUGUGGGUGUCAGAUGGUGGCCUUGAAUUAUCAAACACAUGGUUUAAUGAUGGAUCUAUACAAUGGAUUUUUCCGACGGAAUGCAAACUGCGGGUUCAUCCUCAAACCUACCAUCAUGAGAGAGGAGAUUGCGUACUUCAGUGCCAACACCAAGGACGUCAUUCCAGGGGUCUCCCCUCAGAUCCUGCACAUCAAGGUUAUUAGCGGACAGCAUUUUCCCAAACCCAAAGGCUCUGGUUCCCGUGGUGAUGUCACUGACCCGUACGUUACCAUAGAGAUUUUUGGAAUCCCUGCGGACUGUGCGGAGGAAAGGACUAAGACUGUACCACACAAUGGAUACAGUCCAAUCUUUGAUGAGAGUUUUGAGUUCCAGAUCAACCUUCCGGAGCUUGCUUUGGUCCGGUUUGCUGUGCUAGACGAUGACUACAUUGGGGAUGAGUUUAUCGGACAGUAUACUAUUCCUUUUGAUUGCAUGCAGACAGGUUAUAGACACAUUCGAUUAUGUUCCAACACUGGGGAGGAGAUUCCAAACUGUACCCUGUUCAUUCAUGUGGCCAUCACAAAUAAACGAGGGGGAGGGAAAGCCAAUAAACGUGGCAUGUCUGUGAAGAAGAAAACCAAGCGAGAUUAUACAAGUAUGAAGUCAGUCGGAGUAAAAAACAUUGAUGAAACAUUCAAGGUAGCCAUCCAGCCUUUGCGAGAUGGAACAGACCUCAGGGAUAAUGUGCAGGUAACUCUAGCAGACUUCAAGGAAACGUGUGGGUUAUCUCCCAUUGCCAACAUCAAACAGUGCUUCCGACUGAUGGGUACCCGGCUGUCCAACUCCACAGAGCAGGCCAACCUGACUCUCGUCAUGAGAGGGGAGUAUCCAAGCCUAGAAGCCCAAGGCAACCUGCCAGAUAUUCUGAAGAAGGCUCUGAUUUCUUUUGAUGAGUUGGUUGCUGAAAUCAAGAAUCUACUAGAAAAUGCAGACAAUGUGUAUGAAAAGUUACUUCAUUGCAAGAGAGCAGGGAUGGAGUGGCAUGAAGAUUUAGAGAAUGUUUGUCAACAGGCGGGACUGAAGGGCAAAAAACUGUCAAAGGCAAUGGAAAACUUCUCUUGGAAUAUCAGAGUGUUGAAGGGACAAGCAGAUCUCCUGAACCAAGCAAAGAAAGAAGGCCAAGAAUACUUAAGACAAAUCACAGAAGCAGCACAAUCAAUGGGGCUGGGAAAAUAUAACGAAAAUCAAACAGAAAUUCCGGAAUCCAUUGACAUGGUUUUCCCCCGGAACCUAAAGAACAGAAGAGAUUUCAUGGAGAAUUUGACUUCAACAGCCCCGGAUGUGACCACCGUGUACAUUACAUCAGCAGACCAAGAUGCCACUGGUUUUCCUAUCAAAUCCAAAACUCUACAGGAUUUAUCAGACCUUCAGUCGACAUCCACAUCUCAGAAUCCAACCAGCGUAUAUCAGCAAACCACAAUCCCCGUCGACGUCGCUCUAUGCUCAGUGCACGAGUUCCUAACCUGUUGGCUCAUACCUGUCUCUUCCAUUUUAAGUCUGAUAUCCAUAUCCGGCAAUGUCGCCACAAUCACCAACAUACUGUGCAGGCGCAUGUACAAAAACGGAACUUACUUGUGCAUUCUGCUGGUGGCAAUGGGUGACCUUUUGACGACUAUCCUACUCUACGUCUUUAUGUUUAUUCUAUUUCCCAUCAUGUUCGAGCUUUAUCUUAACAUUCCCCUUUGCGUUUUGUUUUUCUGGGUUGGGUACACUUCUCACUUCUGGGCUGGGAGUAACCUUGUUCUGCUUGCCUUUGAGAGGUAUUCUCUGAUCACAAACCCAUUUAGAUAUCAAACAUUUCAUAGAAAGCAUCGAGCGGUCAAGAUAUCGCUGCUUAAUUUGUUCAUUUUGUCCGUCUUGUGCAUUGCAUAUGCCGUCGUUUUAUCGUUUAUCGAAUCUUGUCCCGAAUUCUUCCUGAUAAUGUAUUACUUCGCUUUUAUCGGCGUUCCGUUUUUCUUUAUAAUUACAGGAAUGCUGCUGUUUUUACAUUGUUAUAAACUGAUCAAGAUAAAAAACAUGCCCAACCUUUCCCUUCAAACCUCAAACAAGAAAGGAUUCUCUGAGCUAACCACAAAAGUCUACCUCAUUUGCCUUACGUAUGUGUUCAGUCAGAUCCCGUUUGUAAUUAAUGACUUCAUGGUACUGUUUAUACAAUUCGGGCUCCUUGGUCCCUCUAAAAUGUGGACGCACCUUCUGUAUCAGAUAGGGACGGUCUUCAUUCUGGCAAACUACGCCAUUAAUCCCUUCAUAUACUUUCUCUCGUUCAAAAGAAUGAAGUCUCUGUGUAAGGUAAAGCGUAGGGAAAUCCCCUCAUCAGCAAUGAGUGUCUACAAUGUCAGUAAACAAAAUACAUGUACUGUUAACCAAUAAACUACAAGUUAUAACAAAUUACCGAAUGUGUAAAAGACUUAUGUUGGAUAAUAAAUAAACGAUAUGAUAAACCAACUCUUUAGUUACCUGUAACUCGUCAAACCACACACGGGUGGUUAGAACUGUAAGACAGGUAUAGUGAAUUUUUCACCAGCCAGACAACUUGUCAAACUUGCUGCUUAACUAGUUAGUUAACACACGACAUAUUAACUGUUAACUGUACAAAGCCGGCCAGUACACAACUAAACCGUUUUUACUAUAGCCGCCGCUAUGUGGCUAACUAUUCCGCAUAGUUGAUUAACAAACCGCUAACUAGUUAGUAACGAUGACACACACAACAUGUCAUUAUAAAAUUUAACCAUAAUAAUUAGUUAUGACAAAGUCACAGUUAAUUAACCACAUGUAGUCAUAAUGACACACAUCUUGUCAUAGUUUACCGUUAACUAACAAGUCAUAAUACACACAAACACAAUGUUAUAGUUUACCGUUAACUAACAAGUCAUAAUACACACACAAUGUUAUAGUUUACCGUUAACUAACUAGUCAUAAUACACAUUAUGUUAUAGUUUACCGUUAACUAACUAUUUACAACAUGUACUA
rnacentral:sRNA from 1 species